AUUGAACGCUGGCGGCAUGCCUAACACAUGCAAGUCGAACGAGUGGCGGACGGGUGAGUAAUGUCUGGGACACUGCCUGGUGGAGGGGGAUAACUAAUGGAAACUGUUGCUUAUACCGCAUCCCAUCGGAUGUGCCCAGAUGGGAUUUGCUAGUAGGUGGGGUAACGGCUCACCUAGGCGACGAUCCCUAGCUGGUCUGAGAGGAGUACCAGCCACACUGGAACUGUGAAACGGUCCAGACUCCUACGUGAGGCAGCAGUGGGGAAUAUUGGACAAUGGGGGCAAGCCUGAUGCAGCCAUGCCGCGUGUAUGAAGAAGGCCUUCGGGUUGUAAAGUACUUUCAGCGGGGAGGCGUUACCCGCAGAAGAAGCACCGGCUAACUCCGUGCCAGCAGCCGCGGUAAUAC
rnacentral:rRNA from 1 species